ACCGCAGUGGUCUAACGGUUAUGAUGGGAGGUUGUGGACCUCUCGGAGAGGGUUCGACUCCCCCCUGCGGUC
rnacentral:tRNA from 1 species